rnacentral:rRNA from 1 species
ACUCCUACGGGAGGCAGCAGUGGGGAAUAUUGCACAAUGGGCGCAAGCCUGAUGCAGCCAUGCCGCGUGUAUGAAGAAGGCCUUCGGGUUGUAAAGUACUUUCAGCGGGGAGGAAGGGAGUAGAGUUAAUACCUUUGCUCAUUGACGUUACCCGCAGAAGAAGCACCGGCUAACUCCGUGCCAGCAGCCGCGGUAAU